rfam:Elusimicrobia bacterium GWB2_63_22 gwb2_scaffold_104, whole genome shotgun sequence.
UUUCCUUGUAAUCGGGGGAAUUGGCCCCCGGGCAUCCACGACCGGACCUUAAUCCGGUGUAUCCAGGGAAA